GCCGCCAUCGUCUAACGGUUAGGACUCCAGAUUUUCAAUCUGGCAAUCGGAGUUCGAUUCUCCGUGGCGGUG
rnacentral:tRNA from 1 species